rnacentral:rRNA from 1 species
AACGAACGCUGGCGACAUGCCUAACACAUGCAAGUCGAACGAGACCUUCGGGUCUAGUGGCGCACGGGUGCGUAACGCGUGGGAACCUGCCCUUAGGUUCGGAAUAACUCCCCGAAAGGGGUGCUAAUACCGGAUAAUGUCUUCGGACCAAAGAUUUAUCGCCUUUGGAUGGGCCCGCGUUGGAUUAGCUAGUUGGUAGGGUAAAAGCCUACCAAGGCGACGAUUCAUAGCUGGUCUGAGAGGAUGAUCAGCCACACUGGGACUGAGACACGGCCCAGACUCCUACGGGAGGCAGCAGUGGGGAAUAUUGGACAAUGGGCGAAAGCCUGAUCCAGCAAUGCCGCGUGAGUGAUGAAGGCCUUAGGGUUGUAAAGCUCUUUUACCCGGGAUGAUAAUGACAGUACCGGGAGAAUAAGCUCCGGCUAACUCCGUG